GUCGAGCGGUAAGGCCUUUCGGGGUACACGNNCGGCGAACGGGUGAGUAACACGUGGGUGAUCUGCCCUGCACUUCGGGAUAAGCCUGGGAAACUGGGUCUAAUACCGGAUAUGACCUCCUAUCGCAUGGUGGGUGGUGGAAAGAUUUAUCGGUGCAGGAUGGGCCCGCGGCCUAUCAGCUUGUUGGUGGGGUAAUGGCCUACCAAGGCGACGACGGGUAGCCGACCUGAGAGGGUGACCGGCCACACUGGGACUGAGACACGGCCCAGACUCCUACGGGAGGCAGCAGUGGGGAAUAUUGCACAAUGGGCGAGAGCCUGAUGCAGCGACGCCGCGUGAGGGAUGACGGCCUUCGGGUUGUAAACCUCUUUCAGCAGGGACGAAGCGCAAGUGACGGUACCUGCAGAAGAAGCACCGGCUAACUACGUGCCAGCAGCCGCGGUAAUACGUAGGGUGCAAGCGUUGUCCGGAAUUACUGGGCGUAAAGAGUUCGUAGGCGGUUUGUCGCGUCGUUUGUGAAAACCAGCAGCUCAACUGCUGGCUUGCAGGCGAUACGGGCAGACUUGAGUACUGCAGGGGAGACUGGAAUUCCUGGUGUAGCGGUGAAAUGCGCAGAUAUCAGGAGGAACACCGGUGGCGAAGGCGGGUCUCUGGGCAGUAACUGACGCUGAGGAACGAAAGCGUGGGUNNNNNNNAGGAUUAGAUACCCUGGUAGUCCACGCCGUANACGGUGGGCGCUAGGUGUNNNUNCCUUCCA
rnacentral:rRNA from 1 species